GAGCAUAUUUAAUUUGUAAUUUGUAUAUUUAAUAACACAUUAUUGUGUGUCGUUCUAUGGUUUUAAUAAAUGUGUUGUCAUCUCAUUUUUAUUACUACUAACAUGAUUUUUUAGUGAUCAAUGAUAAUGUAUUUUAAACGUUAUGUAUUAUAUUUUAUUGUAUAUUUUUUAACUCUUCGUGCUGGUACUUUUUUUAGAAUCAUUUUAAUUAGAUAAUAGGUUUUAAGAUGUAAAUAAAACUGUGUAUGUUGUAAAUUUAGACUUCUUAGUGUAGCUGAGCACUAUCAAUUAUGGAAAUUAUAUUAUGAUUUUAUUUUACAAAAUCUUUUUUUCUGUGUAUUUUUUUUUGUUUUAUUUUGUAUUUUUACAAUUUUAUUGCAUUAUUCUUUAACUGCAGAGAAUUGAUAUUUCUAAUUUUUGUUUAAUAUACCUUAAAAGUCUUCGGUUGAUUUUU
rnacentral:lncRNA from 1 species